rnacentral:rRNA from 1 species
ACAACUUUCAGCGAUGGAUGUCUCGGUUCGAUCAACGAUGAAGGGCGCAGCGAAGUGCGAUAAGCAUUGUGAAUUGCAGAAUUCCGUGAACCGACAGGGGCUUGAACGCAUAUUGUGCUUUCGGGACAUCCCUGAAAGCACGCCUGCUUCAGUGUCUAUG